GGAAUUGUUCGCAAUGGGCGCAAGCCUGACGACGCAACGCCGCGUGGAGGAUGAAGAAUUUCGGUUCGUAAACUCCUUUCGACCGAGAUGAACACCCCGCAAUUUAAUACGUUGUGGGACUGACAGUAUCGAGAGAAGAAGCACCGGCUAACUCUGUGCCAGCAGCCGCGGUAAGACAGAGGGUGCAAACGUUGUUCGGAUUUACUGGGCGUAAAGCGCGUGUAGGCGGCUUGGCAAGUCGGAUGUGAAAGCCCACGGCUCAACCGUGGAAGCGCAUCCGAAACGGCCUCGCUCGAGUCUCGGAGAGGAAGGUGGAAUGCUUGGUGUAGAGGUGAAAUUCGUAGAUAUCAAGCAGAACACCUGCGGCGAAGGCGGCCUUCUGGACGAUGACUGACGCUGAGACGCGAAAGCGUGGGGAGCAAAC
rnacentral:rRNA from 1 species